UGAGGAAUUUUGCGCAAUGGGGGAACCCCUGACGCAGCGACGCCGCGUGGCGGAGGAAGGUCUUCGGAUCGUAAACUCCUGUCAAGACGGACGAAUCCGUGAGAGAUGACUAAGCCCUCGCGUUGACGGUACCUCUGAAGGCAGCCCCGGCUAACUCCGUGCCAGCAGCCGCGGUAAUACGGAGGGGGCUAGCGUUGUUCGGAAUUAUUGGGCGUAAAGGGCGCGUAGGCGGCCCGGCAAGUCAGUCGUGAAAGCCCUCGGCUCAACCGAGGAAUUGCGAUUGAAACUGCCGAGCUUGAGUUCUGGAGAGGGUAGCGGAAUUCCCAGUGUAGCGGUGAAAUGCGUAGAUAUUGGGAGGAACACCCGUGGCGAAGGCGGCUACCUGGACAGAUACUGACGCUGAGGCGCGAAAGCGUGGGGAGCAAACAGGAUUAGAUACCCGCGUAGUCC
rnacentral:rRNA from 1 species